AACAAACUACACACACUUCAACUACAAUUAACACUGUGUCUUUGUCUUCUACAGGUUGAUAAAGUGUGGCGUCACAGAUGAAGGUUGUUCUGCUCUGGCUUCAGCUCUGAGAUCAAACCCCUCACACCUGAGAGAACUGGAUCUGUCUGAGAAUAACAUAGGAGAUUCAAGCUUGACGUUCAUCUGUUCCGUACUGGAGGAUCACCGCUGUAAACUGGAGAAACUAGAGUUGGAUUAUUGUGGUGUCACAGAUGAAGGUUGUUCUGCUCUGGCUUCAGCUCUGAGAUCAAACCCCUCACACCUGAGACAACUGAAUCUGACUGAGAAUAAAAUAGGAGGUUCAGUGAAUCUGCUGUCUGAUGUACUACAAAAUCCUCACUGUAAACUAGAGAAACUGUGGUUGAGUUAUUGUGGUGUAACAGACAAAGGUUGUUCUGCUCUGGCUUUAGCUCUGAGAUCAAACCCCUCACACCUGAGAGAACUGAAUCUGUCUGGGAAUAAUCUAGGAGAUUCAGGAGUGAAGUUACUCUCUGAUCUAAAAGAUGAUCCACAUUAUAAACUGGAGACAUUAUACUAUUGACUCUCAGUCAGUUCAGUUUCCUCAGGAUCAGCUGAUGGUGAAGAGCCGCUACAGAGACGUCACAGUCACGCAAUCAACAGAGACUGAAGACAAAGACACACAGCAUUACAGAGACUGUUUCAAGAUAAAUUUUUAACAAGCCAAAAAAAUGCAUGUCACUCCUUUGUUCAUCAUUCUGCUCUGACUACCAAUAGCUACUCGCAUAAUAUUCAAGGCAUUAAUUUUUGUCUACAAAACCACCACUGGCUGUGUUCCCCUUUACCUAAACUCAUUACUGCAGAAUUAUUUGCCCUCUAGAAGCUUAUGUUCAGCAAGUGAACAUCACUUUAUUGUUCAUCUCAGAGCCACAAAAUCACUUUCACAGACUUUUACAUUAACUGUUUUCUCCUGGAGGAAUGACCUGCUCAACUCAAUUUCCAGCAGCUGAGUCCUUAGCCA